rnacentral:rRNA from 1 species
AUUGAACGCUGGCGGCAGGCCUAACACAUGCAAGUCGAGCGGAUGAAGGGAGCUUGCUCCUGGAUUCAGCGGCGGACGGGUGGGUAAUUCCUAGGAAUCUGCCUGGUCGUGGGGGAUAACGUCCGGAAACGGGCGCUAAUACCGCAUACGUCAUGAGGGAGAAAGUGGGGGAUCUUCGGACCACGCGGUAUCAGCUUCACCUAGGUCGGAUUAGGUAGUUGGUGGGGUAAAGGCCUACCAAGGCGACGAUCCGUAACUGGUCUGAGAGGUUGAUCAGUCACACUGGAACUGAGACACGGUCCAGACUCCUACGGGAGGCAGCAGUGGGGAAUAUUGGACAAUGGGCGAAAGCCUGAUCCAGCCAUGCCGCGUGUGUGAAGAAGGUCUUCGGAUUGUAAAGCACUUUAAGUUGGGAGGAAGGGCAGUAAGUUAAUACCUUGCUGUUUUGACGGUACCAACAGAAUAAGCACCGGCUAACUUCGUG